UACGUAGGUGGCAAGCGUUGUUCGGAAUUACUGGGCGUAAAGCGCGCGUAGGCGGCUCUUCAAGUCAGACGUGAAAGCCCCGAGCUUAACUCGGGAACUGCGUUUGAUACUGUCGAGCUAGAGUGUGGAAGGGGCGAUUGGAAUUCCGUGUGUAGCGGUGAAAUGCGUAGAUAUACGGAGGAACACCAGGGGCGAAGGCGGAUCGCUGGGCCAACACUGACGCUGAUGCGCGAAAGCUAGGGGAGCAAACGGG
rnacentral:rRNA from 1 species